AACGAACGCUGGCGGCAGGCUUAACACAUGCAAGUCGAGCGCGUAGCAAUACGAGCGGCAGACGGGUGAGUAACGCGUGGGAAUCUACCCAUCACUACGGAAUAACCCAGGGAAACUUGGACUAAUACCGUAUACGACCGAGAGGUGAAAGAUUUAUCGGUGAUGGAUGAGCCCGCGUUGGAUUAGCUAGUUGGUGGGGUAAAGGCCUACCAAGGCGACGAUCCAUAGCUGGUCUGAGAGGAUGAUCAGCCACACUGGGACUGAGACACGGCCCAGACUCCUACGGGAGGCAGCAGUGGGGAAUAUUGGACAAUGGGCGCAAGCCUGAUCCAGCCAUGCCGCGUGAGUGAUGAAGGCCCUAGGGUUGUAAAGCUCUUUCACCGGUGAAGAUAAUGACGGUAACCGGAGAAGAAGCCCCGGCUAACUUCGUGC
rnacentral:rRNA from 1 species